rfam:Ficedula albicollis isolate OC2 chromosome 1A, whole genome shotgun sequence.
GUGGGCUAUGGGGACAUGAGACCUGUCACUGUGGGGGGCAAAAUCGUGGGCUCCUUGUGUGCCAUUGCUGGUGUGCUGACCAUUGCCCUGCCUGUCCCUGUCAUCGUGUCCAAC